rnacentral:rRNA from 1 species
CAAGUCGAGGGGCAGCGGGGGAGUAGCAAUACUCCCGCCGGCGACCGGCGCACGGGUGAGUAACACGUAUGAAACCUGCCCGUAGCAGGGGGGGAUAAGCGGAAGAAAUUCCGUCUAAUACCGCGUAACAACCCUUGGAGGCAUCUCCUCGGGUUUAAAGGAAGCGAUUCCGGCUACGGAUGGUCAUGCGUCGCAUUAGCUGGUUGGCGGGGUAACGGCCCACCAAGGCGACGAUGCGUAGGGGUUCUGAGAGGAAGGUCCCCCACACUGGUACUGAGACACGGACCAGACUCCUACGGGAGGCAGCAGUGAGGAAUAUUGGUCAAUGGCCGCAGGGCUGAACCAGCCAAGUCGCGUGAGGGAUGACGGUCCUAUGGAUUGUAAACCUCUUUUGUCAGGGAGCAAAGGGCGCCACGUGUGGCGCUUUGCGAGUGCCUGAAGAAAAAGCAUCGGCUAACUCCGUGCCAGCAGCCGCGGUAAUACGGAGGAUGCGAGCGUUAUCCGGAUUUAUUGGGUUUAAAGGGUGCGCAGGUGGAAUGUCAAGUCAGCGGUAAAAUUUCGGGGCUCAACCCCGUCGUGCCGUUGAAACUGGCGUUCUUGAGUGAGCGAGAAGUAUGCGGAAUGCGUGGUGUAGCGGUGAAAUGCAUAGAUAUCACGCAGAACUCCGAUUGCGAAGGCAGCAUACCGGCGCUCAACUGACGCUCAUGCACGAAAGCGUGGGUAUCGAACAGGAUUAGAUACCCUGGUAGUCCACGCAGUAAACGAUGAAUACUAACUGUCCGGGCAGAAUGAUGCCUGGGUGGUACAGCGAAAGCGUUAAGUAUUCCACCUGGGGAGUACGCCGGCAACGGUGAAACUCAAAGGAAUUGACG